GGGGGGGUGCAUAUACAUGCAGUCGAGCGGACAGAAGGGAGCUUGCUCCCGGAUGUUAGCGGCGGACGGGUGAGUAACACGUGGGUAACCUGCCUGUAAGACUGGGAUAACUCCGGGAAACCGGAGCUAAUACCGGAUAGUUCCUUGAACCGCAUGGUUCAAGGAUGAAAGACGGUUUCGGCUGUCACUUACAGAUGGACCCGCGGCGCAUUAGCUAGUUGGUGAGGUAACGGCUCACCAAGGCGACGAUGCGUAGCCGACCUGAGAGGGUGAUCGGCCACACUGGGACUGAGACACGGCCCAGACUCCUACGGGAGGCAGCAGUAGGGAAUCUUCCGCAAUGGACGAAAGUCUGACGGAGCAACGCCGCGUGAGUGAUGAAGGUUUUCGGAUCGUAAAGCUCUGUUGUUAGGGAAGAACAAGUGCAAGAGUAACUGCUUGCACCUUGACGGUACCUAACCAGAAAGCCACGGCUAACUACGUGCCAGCAGCCGCGGUAAUACGUAGGUGGCAAGCGUUGUCCGGAAUUAUUGGGCGUAAAGGGCUCGCAGGCGGUUUCUUAAGUCUGAUGUGAAAGCCCCCGGCUCAACCGGGGAGGGUCAUUGGAAACUGGGAAACUUGAGUGCAGAAGAGGAGAGUGGAAUUCCACGUGUAGCGGUGAAAUGCGUAGAGAUGUGGAGGAACACCAGUGGCGAAGGCGACUCUCUGGUCUGUAACUGACGCUGAGGAGCGAAAGCGUGGGGAGCGAACAGGAUUAGAUACUUGUGUU
rnacentral:rRNA from 1 species